rnacentral:tRNA from 1 species
GGGGAGAUAGCUCAGUUGGUAGAGUGCUUGCCUUGCAUGCACAAGACCCUGGGUUCAAUCCCCAGCAUCACAA